GGCCCCUUCGUCUAGUGGUCCAGGACGUCGCCCUCUCACGGCGAAAACACGGGUUCGAGUCCCGUAGGGGUCACCA
rnacentral:tRNA from 2 species